GAAAAGUGGUCAGCAUGACCUUCUUGGACGACUGCCUGCUGGAGCUGGAUGGCACGGGCAACAUGCUGGCAGCUCUUCUCGGGGACUCCAAGAUGAUGCGCACCGUGGCCUUCGCGGGCAAAAACGAUUUUAGUCGGCUCAGUCGAGACGAGGUCAUCACGCUGCCAAGGCUUGCAGUUGAGACCCCCCACCAGCCGUCGGCCCCUGCGAUUUCUCUGAAGCCCAGGAG